rnacentral:tRNA from 2 species
CUAAUAUGACUAAUUGGGGUGGCAGAGCAUGGUAAUUGCAUAAGACCUAAGACCUUAUUUUCGAAAGUUCAAAUCCUUCCCUCAAUU